rnacentral:sRNA from 1 species
CCCUAGCCUUGAUAGAAGUGGAAAUCCUUUUGUGCCGGGGUUCGGCACAAAAGAUUGGAACGGAUAGCAGGAAUAGCU